GCUUCCCGCGGUGUUCGUGAUGCCCGAUGAUGUCUUGAGCCGAUUCACCAUGAGUCGGGAGUCGUCCGGCGUGGCGUUCGCGUCGCGUCCGGACGGCGCCCACCUGCAGACGCGGGUUCAACGACUCCAUCGCACACGGCACAGGCGGUGGCGGU
rnacentral:other from 2 species